ensembl:lincRNA
GUAGCUAGCAAGGGGAUUGUAAAAUGCACCAAUCAGUACCCUGAAAAUGCAACAAUCAGCACUCUGUAAAAUGCACCAAACAGCAGGAUCCUAAAACUAGCCAAUCACAGGGAGGAUUGAUAAAGGAGCACUCUGAUAGGACAAAAACAGAACAUGGGAGGGGACAAAUAAGGGAAUAAAUGCUGGCCACCCCAGCCAGCAGCAGCAACUCACUCGGGUCUCCUUACACACUGUGGAAGCUUUGUUCUUUCACUCUUCACAAUAAAUCUUGCUGCUGCUCACUCUUUGGGUCUGUGCCAUCUUUAAAAGCUGUAACACUCACUGCGAAGGUCCGUGGCUCCAUUCUUGAAAUCAGCAAAACCACAAACCCACUGGCAGGAACCAACUCUGGACACAUCUUGGGAGCUCCUCUGGGAUAUUGUCAUGUGAAUCUACAAAAUACCUCCCAUGGUAACAAGAAAACAACACACAAUCAAAACAAAUGAAGUGCUUCCCAAACACCAUCUUCUUCAAGGGAGGAGACCAGUACGGAGUCACUACAAGUUGUUUCUUCUACCAACGGUACCACAAAUGGCCCCAAAGGCCCAAAUGGGAUUCAAAAUGGAGUCAGUGCUGUUACAAUACGAUCUUCUAUUCAAUAAAGAAGCAAAAGUACUCACAGCAGAGUGGGAUUGCUGUGAGAAGGAGCCAUCAACUGGCUGGCAGUGGAUGGAGGAAGAAAAAACAUCAUCAAGUUGUUGUGAUAGGAGUGGAUGAAUAGUGACCAACAUGACACCUGGAAAUCAGUAUCUAUGGAAUCCUGUAGAAGAUACCUGAAAUAUGCUUACAUUCACAAACCAGUACAACCUAAACUUGCUGGUCAGUAUCAUGUGGUCAAAGGAUCUGUCACUGGCAAUAUGCGGUACAUGAUCAAAGUUUACUUCUGCUGCAAAGAAUUGAAGAACGGUACUGUAAUUUUAAUUGAUGUAUGGCAUGUAAAACAUUGCUUUACUUUCUGCUACAUGUGUGUUAUAACCAAAAGGUUAUAAUUUUAUUGUCAAAAUUAAAUGUAAUUCAGACUUAUGUACAGCAUGAACCAUAGAAUGAGUGAAUAUUUCUGGAAGCUUAUUUAAAGCCUCUAAUUAAUGUAAUACUUAUGAAGAGUUACUGGCUAGAAAAAGACAUUUGGCUUUUAAAAUACCACAUGCCCUAUUAUAAUCUUACAAAUAUUCAAAUGCCUAUGAAUAAAAACAAAAAAAAUUGAGCUAGAAAUACACAAUUAAAAGGCCUUAGAAGGAACACAGUUAUUAAUAAAAAUAUUACAGCAAUAACUCCUGAACCCCAUUUUAUGUUUCAAGUCCAGAUGGUCAUUGAGGUGUGAAGUAUCUUUUUUUGAAUAAAAUUUUGAGGAAAUUUUAAGACACAUUAAAACACAACCAAGAUAUAUGUGUCAAAGAGAUACUGACAGAGCUUAGAAAGUGUCUCCAGAAGAAAAGAGUUAUCCAGAGACCUAUAAUCCAUUCCGAUCAAAUCUCCUGAAAGAUAUGCUAGUAAAAGAGAUUUAAUAAAUAUACUAUUUACUAAUAGAAUGUAGAUUAUUUGACUAGAAGUUCUUAUGACAAACUUGUAAUCCAUAGAUUUUGGAGACAAGGGAAUAUAGCUUCCUGUAACAUGUCAUGAAAGCUUUGGUAUGUAAAAUAAGCUUUUUUCUUGAUGAAAAUGGCUUUCUUUUAUGUAAACAAUAAUAACAUCUAGCACUUAGGAAACUCGUAUAUCAUAUACAGCUGCACAUCAUUGUUUCCUAAUGAGGCUGGAAGGAAAAUAGGAAAAAAUAUCUGUAGCUCUAGACUUGCCGUUUCAUCUGUGCUUCACAACUACUUCUACUUUGAAAGUAAUAUUAAAGUUUGAUAUUGGGUAAGAUCUGAGAUUCCUGUAUCUGACUUGAUGAUAUGAUAUUUUCUGUUAUCUCAAUAUACAUACAUCUCAAUGUAUAAUUUUUUGAAAGGCAAUACACUUUACCUGAAUGAUACAAGUUUCCAUUGGAGUUUUGUUUCAUUGUGUUUUGUUUUUUAUCAAGGGAAAAUUAAGAGGGAGAAAUAAACUGUCAUUACUCAAGGAGAGCAUGCACAAUACAACUUUCCAGCUCUAAUUCCAAAGUUUGAUUUCUCUUAUUUGAAGCUCGUGAUAUUUUGUUUGCUCAAAAAUGGGAAGGAUGGGGUGGUUAACAGACUUCUUGUUGGAAUUAUUUAACAGACUUAUGUAAUUUCCUGAGUCUGUUUUCUUUUCCAUGUUUCAAUUGUGUGAUGGGA